rnacentral:sRNA from 1 species
UGAAUAUAUAUAGAUAAAAAUAAAUGGAAUUCGGUGAAAAUCCGAAACGGUCCCGCCACUGUGAGAACAUUGUUCAAGUCAGAUCUUUUUAUUUUAUCUUUUGGAAACUACUUCGAGGCAAAGUAGCA